UUCCUGCCUAACUAUGAGGGUCUCUUGUUUUUGGGGUAGAGAGGAGCUCAGUCAAAGCGUCAGUAUGGUGAGGGCUAUUCAUAACUCCAAUUUCUGACAAAAGGUGAUAUCUGGAAGAUUAAUCCUAUACUUUUAAUAUCUGUAGACUGUGAUGACAUCACCUUUCUUUCCUGAUAUUUGUCAUCUGUUGUAUUCUCUCCUUUUUUCCUAAUAAUACUGAUGAGAGUUUUAUUGAUCUUCCCAAGGAACCAGCUUUUGUUUUUAUUUGAUUUUUUUCUUGCACCAUUGCACUCCAGCCUGGGUGACAGAGCGAGACUCUGUCUCAAAAAAAAACAUAAAGAAAGGAAGAAAUUCAAUUUAUUUAAGACCUUUCUUUUCGAAUACAGAUAUUUAAAUUUCCUCUAUGUCUGCUUUAGCAGUGUUCCACACAUUUUAGUAUGUUGUGUUUUCAUUUUCAUCCAGUUAGAAGUACUUUCUGAUUUUUCUUUUGAUUUCUUCUUUGAUCCAUGGAUUAUUUAGAGAUGUGUUAUUUAGUUUUCAAAUAUUUAAGAAUUUUCCAAAUAUCAUUCUGUUGAUUUCUAAUUUGAUUCUGUUGUGAUCACAGACCAUAGUUUUUAUGACUUUAACCUUUUCACAUUUAUUGAUACAUGUUUUAUGGCCAGAAUGAGAUCUGUCUUGGUAAAUGUUCUAUGUUCACCUGAAUAUGUAGUCUUCUGUUGUUCAGUGUAGUGUUUUUGGUAUUAGCCCAAUUUGGUUGAUAGUAUUGUUCAAGUCUUCUAUAUCCUUACUGAUUGUCUGUUUGUUCUAUCAGGUACCUAGAGAAGGUUGCUGAAAUCUCAGUCUAUAAUUAUCGAUUUGUCUGUUUUUCCUCGAUGUUCUAUUACUUUUCUGCAGGUAUUUUGACAUUCUGUUAUUAGGUGUCUAGACAUUUAGGGUUGUUAUGUUCUUUUGAUUAACUGACUCCUCUAUCAUUAUGGAAUUAUCCCCUUUACUAUGUGAAUAUUACUUGAUUUAAAAUCUACCUUGAUAUUAAUAGGGCUAUUCGAGAUUUCUUUUGAUUUAUAUUAGUGUGAUAUUUCUUCUUCGAUCCUUUUGCUUUUAACGUAGUUGUGGUUUUAUAUUUAAGUGGUAUUAUCUUUGCUGUUAGUUUUCUUUUCUUUCUUUUUUCUUUUUUUUUGAGACAGGGUCUCAUUCUGUCAUCCAGGCUGGAGUGCUGUGGUGUGAUCAUGGUUCUCUAAAGCAGGCUGCCAGACUC
rnacentral:lncRNA from 1 species